rnacentral:rRNA from 1 species
AGAACGAACGCUGGCGGCAUGCCUAAUACAUGCAAGUCGAACGAGAUCUUCGGAUCUAGUUGCGCACGGGUGCGUAACGCGUGGGAAUCUACCCUUGGGUUCGGAAUAACAGUUGGAAACGACUGCUAAUACCGGAUGAUGACGAAAGUCCAAAGAUUUAUCGCCCAAGGAUGAGCCCGCGUAGGAUUAGCUAGUUGGUGAGGUAAAGGCUCACCAAGGCUACGAUCCUUAGCUGGUCUGAGAGGAUGAUCAGCCACACUGGGACUGAGACACGGCCCAGACCUCCGUACGGAGGCAGCAGUAGGGAAUA